UACUCGAGUGGCGAACGGGUGAGUAGCACGUGGGUGAUCUGCCCUGCACUUCGGGAUAAGCUUGGGAAACUGGGUCUAAUACCGGAUAGGAACCAUCUUUAGUGUGGUGGUUGGAAAGUUUUUUCGGUGUAGGAUGAGCUCGCGGCCUAUCAGCUUGUUGGUGGGGUAAUGGCCUACCAAGGCGGCGACGGGUAGCCGGCCUGAGAGGGUGUACGGCCACAUUGGGACUGAGAUACGGCCCAG
rnacentral:rRNA from 1 species